rnacentral:hammerhead_ribozyme from 1 species
AUCCAGCUGAAGAUUCACAAAUAGGACGAAACGCGCGUCGUGGAU